rnacentral:rRNA from 1 species
CGGGAAACCGGAGCUAAUACCGAUAAUAUAUUGAACCGCAUGGUUCAAUAGUGAAAGACGGUUUUGCUGUCACUUAUAGAUGGAUCCGCGCCGCAUUAGCUAGUUGGUAAGGUAACGGCUUACCAAGGCAACGAUGCGUAGCCGACCUGAGAGGGUGAUCGGCCACACUGGAACUGAGACACGGUCCAGACUCCUGCGGGAGGCAGCAGGC